rnacentral:rRNA from 1 species
UCCGUAGGUGACCUGCGGAGGGAUCAUUACACAAAUAUGAAGGCGGGCUGGAACCUCUCGGGGUUACAGCCUUGCUGAAUUAUUCACCCUUGUCUUUUGCGUACUUCUUGUUUCCUUGGUGGGUUCGCCCACCACUAGGACAAACAUAAACCUUUUGUAAUUGCAAUCAGCGUCAGUAACAAAUUAAUAAUUACAACUUUCAACAACGGAUCUCUUGGUUCUGGCAUCGAUGAAGAACGCAGCGAAAUGCGAUAAGUAGUGUGAAUUGCAGAAUUCAGUGAAUCAUCGAAUCUUUGAACGCACAUUGCGCCCUUUGGUAUUCCAAAGGGCAUGCCUGUUCGAGCGUCAUUUGUACCCUCAAGCUUUGCUUGGUGUUGGGCGUCUUGUCUCUAGCUUUGCUGGAGACUCGCCUUAAAGUAAUUGGCAGCCGGCCUACUGGUUUCGGAGCGCAGCACAAGUCGCACUCUCUAUCAGCAAAGGUCUAGCAUCCAUUAAGCCUUUUUUUCAACUKUUGACCUCGGAUCAGGUAGGSAUACCCGCYGAAMUUAAGCAUAUCAUAAGCGGAGGA